AAUAAAAUGACAUAGUUUUAAACACUAAUCACUCAGCUUUAUAAAUAAAACACACUUUAACAUUACCAAAUUACAAUACAACAACUUGUAUGGAGAGAUCAACCAAGUUUCAUCAACAUACAUAUUACAAUUACAUUAAAAACACAUAUAACAAAUACCAUCCCCAGUAACACCUUCAACCACUUUUCUGACAUAAGAACCCUUUUCUCUAAACAAGCUAUUUUCAUCUUUUCAUCAUCAGCUUCUUCCAUCUUGAUCACACUUUGUUCCAUCAUCAUCAAACUUCCACAUGCUUGUUCAUUUCUUCCACUUCUACUCCUUUGUUCUUCGUACAACACAUUUCCUUCUUCUAUUGCUUCUUCACUGCACCAGCGCAAGAAGUUACAGCCAACGAAAUCUUCACCCCCACCAUGUUGAACGACAAUAGGCAC
rnacentral:lncRNA from 1 species